AUUGAACGCUGGCGGCAUGCCUUACACAUGCAAGUCGAACGGCAGCACGGGGCAACCUGGUGGCGAGUGGCGAACGGGUGAGUAAUGCAUCGGAACGUACCUUUCAGUGGGGGAUAACGUAGCGAAAGUUACGCUAAUACCGCAUAUUCUGUGAGCAGGAAAGCAGGGGAUCGCAAGACCUUGCGCUGAUUGAGCGGCCGAUGUCAGAUUAGCUAGUUGGUGAGGUAAAGGAUCACCAAGGCGACAAUCUGUAGCGGGUCUGAGAGGAUGAUCCGCCACACUGGAAGCGAGACACGGUCCAGACUCCUACGGGAGGCAGCAGAGGGGAAUUUUGGACAAUGGGCGCAAGCCUGAUCCAGCCAUGCCGCGUGAGUGAAGAAGGCCUUCGGGUUGUAAAGCUCUUUCGGCCGGGAAGAAAUCGUAUGGGUUAAUACCCUGUGCGGAUGACGGUACCGGCAUAAGAAGCACCGGCUAACUACGUGCCAGCCGCCGCAGUAACAC
rnacentral:rRNA from 1 species